rnacentral:rRNA from 1 species
GAGUUUGAUCCUGGCUCAGAACGAACGCUGGCGGCAUGCCUAACACAUGCAAGUCGAACGAGACCUUCGGGUCUAGUGGCGCACGGGUGCGUAACGCGUGGGAAUCUGCCCUUCGGUUCGGAAUAACUCAGGGAAACUUGAGCUAAUACCGGAUGAUGACGUAAGUCCAAAGAUUUAUCGCCGAAGGAUGAGCCCGCGUAGGAUUAGCUUGUUGGUGGGGUAAUGGCCCACCAAGGCAACGAUCCUUAGCUGGUCUGAGAGGAUGAUCAGCCACACUGGGACUGAGACACGGCCCAGACUCCUACGGGAGGCAGCAGUGGGGAAUAUUGGACAAUGGGCGAAAGCCUGAUCCAGCAAUGCCGCGUGAGUGAUGAAGGCCUUAGGGUUGUAAAGCUCUUUUACCCGGGAUGAUAAUGACAGUACCGGGAGAAUAAGCUCCGGCUAACUCCGUGCCAGCCGCCGCAGUAAU